AGCGAACGCUGGCGGCAGGCUUAACACAUGCAAGUCGAGCGGGCACUUCGGUGUCAGCGGCAGACGGGUGAGUAACACGUGGGAACGUACCCUUCGGUUCGGAAUAACGCUGGGAAACUAGCGCUAAUACCGGAUACGCCCUUUUGGGGAAAGGUUUACUGCCGAAGGAUCGGCCCGCGUCUGAUUAGCUAGUUGGUGGGGUAAUGGCCUACCAAGGCGACGAUCAGUAGCUGGUCUGAGAGGAUGAUCAGCCACACUGGGACUGAGACACGGCCCAGACUCCUACGGGAGGCAGCAGUGGGGAAUAUUGGACAAUGGGCGCAAGCCUGAUCCAGCCGUGCCGCGUGAGUGAUGAAGGCCUUAGGGUUGUAAAGCUCUUUUGUCCGGGACGAUAAUGACGGUACCGGAAGAAUAAGCCCCGGCUAACUUCGUG
rnacentral:rRNA from 1 species